UUGCUCGCUUCAGCAGCACAUAUACUAAAAUUGGAACGAUACAGAGAAGAUUAGCAUGGCCCCUGCAUGAGGAUGACAUGCAAAAAUGGGGGUGUGGAGGGAUUGUCU